rnacentral:misc_RNA from 1 species
UGUAGGAGUGAGCCUGCUCGCGAUAGCGGUGGUUCAGUCAUAUAUAAGGUGACUGACAGAUUGCUAUCGCGAGCAGGCUCACUCCUACA